rnacentral:rRNA from 1 species
UACGUAGGGUGCAAGCGUUGUCCGGAAUUAUUGGGCGUAAAGGGCUCGUAGGCGGUUUGUCGCGUCGGGAGUGAAAUCCACUGGCUUAACUGGUGGCUUGCUUUCGAUACGGGCAGACUGGAGGUAUGCAGGGGAGAACGGAAUUCCUGGUGUAGCGGUGAAAUGCGCAGAUAUCAGGAGGAACACCGAUGGCGAAGGCAGCUUACUGGGCCGAUACUGACGCUGAGGAGCGAAAGCGUGGGGAGCGAACAGG